AGACAGCAAACGACGGCUAUUACCGCGAAACCUUCUAUAACAAUUGUUAUAUUUCUCUCUACUGUAAACAAAUCAGUAAGCCGGAAAAAUGUCACUUGUAGCAGUAGAGCAACGAAAUUUCUUAUGAAACUAGAAUAUCUGGCGUUCACCUUUCGAAGAAGAGUGACGGGUACGUCAAUAUUCGAUAGGUGGCGCCACUGUCAAUAGCCGGUUCAAAUUGAUUGCAUACAUUGUGAAAUUAAGAUUGUUGAUUGACAUUUGAUAAAUAAAACGUCAUUCCCGUACAACGAUACAUGGGCCAGUAUACUCAGGUCUUCGCUUAGAGCGAUAUCGAUGUCAUUGAAUGCGAGGGGAUCGAAAUUCAUUGUUGUCUAAGUUCUCAUGCCUUUUCGUCGCAAUAGGAACACUCCCGCCAAAGAGGAGUUUAUUUCACUCGCAUUCGCAUGUAAAUAUAUAAUUCUAACCUAUAAUUUUUAUCGAAACAGUGUUUUAAAAGUGAUAGAUGAUCUUCCGUAUGUUGGAGUGCUGGAAGAAUUAAAAGAAGCUAAGGAAAUUGUUGAAGAGCCCCAUUGAUUUGUUUUAAGACACCCUCUAAUACAACUUAGUGAUGACCAAUUUUAAAAAAUAUUUCGGCUAACCAAAGAAACUUUUAGAUAUGUUUUGACCUUUUGACACAAUAAGAAUAUAUCUGGACGAACCGAUAAAAUCGACAGUAGUAAGAACUGUUUUACUUUUAACUUAGCUUUGAUUUAUAUAGACUUAUUAAAAGUAUGUAGAUGCUA